GAGAGAGAGAGAGAGAGAGAGAGAUUGAAGAACAGCAGGAGACUUCCGAUUUGAAGAUCUGAAGAAAUUUGAAGAAAUCCGAUUUGUGCGGAUUCGGUUUCUUGGUUCACGACAUUUUCACCAACUUGAAUCGCAAUAUCUGAAGAAAUCGAUGAUCGUGAACGAAUCGUCUUUGGUUGAUCCUGAUUCGGUCUCUGCAGAUCCAAGCACAUCUCAUCCAACCGAAUAUUAUUCAAUCAUCCAACUUAAAGAAACUAUUAUGGAUCCAUAAACCUCUUUUCCCAGGUGCAAGUGGAGAAUUUGAACGUAAUUACCUUCAAUUCUUUAUAUCUCGAUGCCAUUUUGAUUUUUUUAUUUCUAAAUUUAAAAAG